rnacentral:rRNA from 1 species
GUUUGAUCCUGGCUCAGGACGAACGCUGGCGGCGUGCUUAACACAUGCAAGUCGAACGAUGAUGCCCAGCUUGCUGGGUGGAUUAGUGGCGAACGGGUGAGUAACACGUGAGUAACCUGCCCCUGACUCUGGGAUAAGCGUUGGAAACGACGUCUAAUACUGGAUAUGAUCACUGGCCGCAUGGUCUGGUGGUGGAAAGAUUUUUUGGUUGGGGAUGGACUCGCGGCCUAUCAGCUUGUUGGUGAGGUAAUGGCUCACCAAGGCGACGACGGGUAGCCGGCCUGAGAGGGUGACCGGCCACACUGGGACUGAGACACGGCCCAGACUCCUACGGGAGGCAGCAGUGGGGAAUAUUGCACAAUGGGCGAAAGCCUGAUGCAGCAACGCCGCGUGAGGGAUGACGGCCUUCGGGUUGUAAACCUCUUUUAGUAGGGAAGAAGCGAGAGUGACGGUACCUGCAGAAAAAGCACCGGCUAACUACGUGCCAGCAGCCGCGGUAAUACGUAGGGUGCAAGCGUUGUCCGGAAUUAUUGGGCGUAAAGAGCUCGUAGGCGGUUUGUCGCGUCUGCUGUGAAAUCCCGAGGCUCAACCUCGGGCUUGCAGUGGGUACGGGCAGACUAGAGUGCGGUAGGGGAGAUUGGAAUUCCUGGUGUAGCGGUGGAAUGCGCAGAUAUCAGGAGGAACACCGAUGGCGAAGGCAGAUCUCUGGGCCGUAACUGACGCUGAGGAGCGAAAGCGUGGGGAGCGAACAGGAUUAGAUACCCUGGUAGUCCACGCCGUAAACGUUGGGCGCUAGAUGUAGGGACCUUUCCACGGUUUCUGUGUCGUAGCUAACGCAUCAAGCGCCCCGCCUGGGGAGUACGGCCGCAAGGCUAAAACUCAAAGGAAUUGACGGGGGCCCGCACAAGCGGCGGAGCAUGCGGAUUAAUUCGAUGCAACGCGAAGAACCUUACCAAGGCUUGACAUACACCGGAAACGGCCAGAGAUGGUCGCCCCCUUGUGGUCGGUGUACAGGUGGUGCAUGGUUGUCGUCAGCUCGUGUCGUGAGAUGUUGGGUUAAGUCCCGCAACGAGCGCAACCCUCGUUCUAUGUUGCCAGCGCGUUAUGGCGGGGACUCAUAGGAGACUGCCGGGGUCAACUCGGAGGAAGGUGGGGAUGACGUCAAAUCAUCAUGCCCCUUAUGUCUUGGGCUUCACGCAUGCUACAAUGGCCGGUACAAAGGGCUGCGAUACCGUAAGGUGGAGCGAAUCCCAAAAAGCCGGUCUCAGUUCGGAUUGAGGUCUGCAACUCGACCUCAUGAAGUCGGAGUCGCUAGUAAUCGCAGAUCAGCAACGCUGCGGUGAAUACGUUCCCGGGCCUUGUACACACCGCCCGUCAAGUCAUGAAAGUCGGUAACACCCGAAGCCGGUGGCCUAACCCUAGUGGAAGGAGCCGUCGAAGGUGGGAUCGGUGAUUAGGACUAAGUCGUAACAAGGUAGCCGUACCGGAAGGUGCGGCUGGAUCACCUCC